rnacentral:rRNA from 1 species
UCGAGGGGUAACAUGGAGGAGCUUGCUCCUUCGAUGACGACCGGCGCACGGGUGCGCAACGCGUAUACAAUCUGCCCCCUACUGUGGGAUAGCCCAGAGAAAUUUGGAUUAACACCACAUGGUACCAUAUUGCGGCAUCGUAUUUAUGGUUAAAGGUUACGGUAGGGGAUGAGUAUGCGUCCCAUUAGUUAGUUGGCGGGGUAACGGCUCACCAAGACCGCGAUGGGUAGGGGCCCUGAGAGGGGGAUCCCCCACACUGGUACUGAGACACGGACCAGACUCCUACGGGAGGCAGCAGUGAGGAAUAUUGGACAAUGGGCGGGAGCCUGAUCCAGCCAUGCCGCGUGCAGGAAGAAUGCCCUAUGGGUAGUAAACUGCUUUUAUACGGGAAGAAAAAGGGCUACGUGUAGCCCACUGACGGUACCGUAAGAAUAAGGACCGGCUAACUCCGUGCCAGCAGCCGCGGUAAUACGGAGGGUCCGAGCGUUAUCCGGAAUUAUUGGGUUUAAAGGGUCCGUAGGCGGGCAGCUAAGUCAGUGGUGAAAGUUUGCAGCUCAACUGUAAAAUUGCCUUUGAUACUGGUUGUCUUGAGUUAUAGUGAAGUUGCCGGAAUAUGUAGUGUAGCGGUGAAAUGCAUAGAUAUUACAUAGAACACCGAUUGCGAAGGCAGGUGACUAACUAUAUACUGACGCUGAUGGACGAAAGCGUGGGGAGCGAACAGGAUUA